AGAAUCUUGCAUCUUCAGUAAGGCAAUACAAGUGCAGCACUGAAGAUACACCAAGCACGCAACUGCAAUCUCUCUUGGCUCAGAAGAGAUAACAAAGGUCCCACUCUUCAGAUCAGCACACAUGCAGAAGCAGAUGCCCAGCUGUCUCAGUAUUUGUGAGCAACAGGUGUGGGCCUAGCAGCGGAAGAGCUGACGCACUCGGUGGUCCCAGCAGACAUCGGUGAGGCGGGCUCAUGGAAGCAGCAUGCACCAGGCAUGGAGGGAGGCCGCAGGGCAGCUGGACCUGCGUUUCU